rnacentral:rRNA from 1 species
AGAGUUUGAUCCUGGCUCAGGACGAACGCUGGCGGCGUGCUUAACACAUGCAAGUCGAACGGACUGCCCUCAUAACCCUUCGGGGUUUUUGAGGAUCACAGUCAGUGGCGGACGGGUGAGUAACACGUGAACAACCUGCCCUCAGGCCGGAGAUAACCUGGCGAAAGUCGGGCUAAUAUCCGAUUGAGUUAAGGGAUGGCAUCAUCCCUUAAUGAAAGAUGGGGCUAGUAACCAUUACCUGAGGAGGGGUUCGCGCCGGAUUAGUUAGCUGGUAGGGUAAAGGCCUACCAGGACAGCAAUCCGUAGCUGGUCUGAGAGGACGAUCAGCCACACUGGGACUGAGACACGGCCCAGACUCCUACGGGAGGCAGCAGUGGGGAAUAUUCUACAAUGGGGGGAAACCCUGAUAGAGCGACGUCGCGUGAGUGAAGAAGGCCUUCGGGUUGUAAAGCUCUGUCACCGGGGAAGAAGGUAUUUAUGAGGAAAUGCAUAGAUAUUGACGGUACCUGGAGAGGAAGCACUGGCUAACUACGUGCCAGCAGCCGCGGUAAUACGUAGAGUGCAAGCGUUGUCCGGAAUUAUUGGGCGUAAAGGGUACGCAGGCGGCCCUGCAAGUCAAAUGUGAAAGGUCACAGCUUAACUGUGAGAAUGCGUUUGAAACUGUAGGGCUUGAGUACAACAGAGGAGAGCGGAAUUCCUGGUGUAGUGGUGAAAUACGUAGAGAUCAGGAAGAACACCAGUGGCGAAGGCGGCUCUCUGGGUUGAUACUGACGCUCAGGUACGAAAGCUAGGGGAGCGAACGGGAUUAGAUACCCCGGUAGUCCUAGCAGUAAACGAUGGAUACUAGGUGUUGGGGGUUCGAAUCCCUCAGUGCCGCAGUUAACGCAGUAAGUAUCCCGCCUGGGGAUUACGGUCGCAAGACUGAAACUCAAAGGAAUUGACGGGGGCCCGCACAAGCGGUGGAGCAUGUGGUUUAAUUCGAU